rnacentral:rRNA from 1 species
GCGGCCUAUCAGCUUGUUGGUGGGGUAAUGGCCUACCAAGGCGACGACGGGUAGCCGGCCUGAGAGGGCGACCGGCCACACUGGGACUGAGACACGGCCCAGACUCCUACGGGAGGCAGCAGUGGGGAAUAUUGCGCAAUGGGCGAAAGCCUGACGCAGCGACGCCGCGUGAGGGAUGAAGGCCUUCGGGUUGUAAACCUCUUUCAGCAGGGAAGAAGCGAAAGUGACGGUACCUGCAGAAGAAGCACCGGCUAACUACGUGCCAGCAGCCGCGGUAAUACGUAGGGUGCAAGCGUUGUCCGGAAUUAUUGGGCGUAAAGGGCUCGUAGGCGGUCUGUCGCGUCUGCUGUGAAAACUCGGGGCUUAACCCCGGGCCUGCAGUGGGUACGGGCAGACUAGAGUGCGGUAGGGGAGACUGGAAUUCCUGGUGUAGCGGUGAAAUGCGCAGAUAUCAGGAGGAACACCGGUGGCGAAGGCGGGUCUCUGGGCCGUAACUGACGCUGAGGAGCGAAAGCGUGGGGAGCGAACAGGAUUAGAUACCCUGGUAGUCCACGCCGUAAACGUUGGGCGCUAGGUGUGGGGCUCUUUCCACGAGUUCCGUGCCGCAGCUAACGCAUUAAGCGCCCCGCCUGGGAGUACGG